AGACCCGAAACCCGGUGAUCUAGCCAUGGGCAGGUUGAAGGUUGGGUAACACUAACUGGAGGACCGAACCGACUAAUGUUGAAAAAUUAGCGGAUGACCUGUGGCUGGGGGUGAAAGGCCAAUCAAACCGGGAGAUAGCUGGUUCUCCCCGAAAGCUAUUUAGGUAGCGCCUCGUGAAUUCAUCUCCGGGGGUAGAGCACUGUUUCGGCUAGGGGGCCAUCCCGGCUUACCAACCCGAUGCAAACUGCGAAUACCGGAGAAUGUUAUCACGGGAGACACACGGCGGGUGCUAACGUCCGUCGUGAAGAGGGAAACAACCCAGACCGCCAGCUAAGGUCCCAAAGUCAUGGUUAAGUGGGAAACGAUGUGGGAAGGCCCAGACAGCCAGGAUGUUGGCUUAGAAGCAGCCAUCAUUUAAAGAAAGCGUAAUAGCUCACUGGUCGAGUCGGCCUGCGCGGAAGAUGUAACGGGGCUAAACCAUGCACCGAAGCUGCGGCAGCGACGCUUAUGCGUUGUUGGGUAGGGGAGCGUUCUGUAAGCCUGCGAAGGUGGCCUGUGAGGGUUGCUGGAGGUAUCAGAAGUGCGAAUGCUGACAUAAGUAACGAUAAAGCGGGUGAAAAGCCCGCUCGCCGGAAGACCAAGGGUUCCUGUCCAACGUUAAUCGGGGCAGGGUGAGUCGACCCCUAAGGCGAGGCCGAAAGGCGUAGUCGAUGGGAAACGGGUUAAUAUUCCCGUACUUGGUGUUACUGCGAAGGGGGGACGGAGAAGGCUAUGUUGGCCGGGCGACGGUUGUCCCGGUUUAAGCGUGUAGGUGUGUGUUCCAGGUAAAUCCGGUUCACUUUAACACUGAGGCGUGACGACGAGGCACUACGGUGCUGAAGCAACAAAUGCCCUGCUUCCAGGAAAAGCCUCUAAGCAUCAGGUAACAUCAAAUCGUACCCCAAACCGACACAGGUGGUCAGGUAGAGAAUACCAAGGCGCUUGAGAGAACUCGGGUGAAGGAACUAGGCAAAAUGGUGCCGUAACUUCGGGAGAAGGCACGCUGACACGUAGGUGAAGUGAUUUACUCAUGGAGCUGAAGUCAGUCGAAGAUACCAGCUGGCUGCAACUGUUUAUUAAAAACACAGCACUGUGCAAACACGAAAGUGGACGUAUACGGUGUGACGCCUGCCCGGUGCCGGAAGGUUAAUUGAUGGGGUCAGCGCAAGCGAAGCUCCUGAUCGAAGCCCCGGUAAACGGCGGCCGUAACUAUAACGGUCCUAAGGUAGCGAAAUUCCUUGUCGGGUAAGUUCCGACCUGCACGAAUGGCGUAAUGAUGGCCAGGCUGUCUCCACCCGAGACUCAGUGAAAUUGAACUCGCUGUGAAGAUGCAGUGUACCCGCGGCAAGACGGAAAGACCCCGUGAACCUUUACUAUAGCUUGACACUGAACAUUGAGCCUUGAUGUGUAGGAUAGGUGGGAGGCUUUGAAGUGUGGACGCCAGUCUGCAUGGAGCCGACCUUGAAAUACCACCCUUUAAUGUUUGAUGUUCUAACGUGGAUCCGUAAUCCGGGUUGCGGACAGUGUCUGGUGGGUAGUUUGACUGGGGCGGUCUCCUCCUAAAGAGUAACGGAGGAGCACGAAGGUUGGCUAAUCCUGGUCGGACAUCAGGAGGUUAGUGCAAUGGCAUAAGCCAGCUUGACUGCGAGCGUGACGGCGCGAGCAGGUGCGAAAGCAGGUCAUAGUGAUCCGGUGGUUCUGAAUGGAAGGGCCAUCGCUCAACGGAUAAAAGGUACUCCGGGGAUAACAGGCUGAUACCGCCCAAGAGUUCAUAUCGACGGCGGUGUUUGGCACCUCGAUGUCGGCUCAUCACAUCCUGGGGCUGAAGUAGGUCCCAAGGGUAUGGCUGUUCGCCAUUUAAAGUGGUACGCGAGCUGGGUUUAGAACGUCGUGAGACAGUUCGGUCCCUAUCUGCCGUGGGCGCUGGAGAACUGAGGGGGGCUGCUCCUAGUACGAGAGGACCGGAGUGGACGCAUCACUGGUGUUCGGGUUGUCAUGCCAAUGGCACUGCCCGGUAGCUAAAUGCGGAAGAGAUAAGUGCUGAAAGCAUCUAAGCACGAAACUUGCCCCGA
rnacentral:rRNA from 1 species